CCAGACUCCUCGGGAGGCAGCAGUGGGGAAUAUUGCACAAUGGGGGAAACCCUGAUGCAGCGACGCCGCGUGAGUGAAGAAGUAUUUCGGUAUGUAAAGCUCUAUCAGCAGGGAAGAAAAUGACGGUACCUGACUAAGAAGCCCCGGCUAACUACGUGCCAGCAGCCGCGGUAAUACGUAGGGGGCAAGCGUUAUCCGGAUUUACUGGGUGUAAAGGGAGCGUAGACGGUGAUGCAAGUCAGAAGUGAUAGCCCGGGGCUCAACUCCGGGACUGCUUUUGAAACUGUGUGACUGGAGUGCAGGAGAGGUAAGCGGAAUUCCUGGUGUAGCGGUGAAAUGCGUAGAUAUCAGGAGGAACACCAGUGGCGAAGGCGGCUUACUGGACUGUAACUGACGUUGAGGUUCGAAAGCGUGGGGAGCAAACAGGAUUAGAUACCCUAGUAUG
rnacentral:rRNA from 1 species